rnacentral:rRNA from 1 species
GAUGAACGCUGGCGGCGUGCCUAAUACAUGCAAGUCGAGCGGACGGGCGAGAAGCUUGCGGCGCUGAUGUUAGGGGAGGGCGUGAGAGUCACGCGUGGAUAACGCACCUGUAAUACUGGUAUAAUUUCGGGAAAGGGGAGCAUAUAGCGGAUAAUAUUUUGCACCGCAUGGUGCGAAGGUGAAUGACGGUGUUGGUGGAACGUCUCGAUGGAUCUGAGCUGCAUUAGCUGGUUGGUAAGGUCAAGGCCUACGAAGGCAACGAUGCAUGACCGACCGGAGAGGGUGAUAGGCCACCCUGGAACGGAGACACGCUCCUUACUCCUACGGGAGGCAGCAGUAGGCAAUCGGCCGCAAUGGGCGAAAGCCUGACGGAGCAACGCCGCGUGAGUGAUGAAGGUCCUCGGAUCGUAAAACCCGCUUAUGAGGGGUGAACAUAUGUGUAAGGAACUGUGGACAGCUUGACGGUAACUAGUCAGAAAGCCCCGGCUAACUACGUG